rnacentral:lncRNA from 1 species
UCGCUGUUCUCUAUUGUGGGGUUUUUUCGUGUUCCGGCUAUUCGCUCGUCUCGCUCGCUCUCUUGAAGGCCGCGAAGAAAGCAAGAGGAGAGAACGGGAAGAGAGAGAGAGGUGGGCGAGGAGGAGGGCAGGAUUUCGGUUUCUAGGGUUUUGCUCUGCUCGGAUCCAGGUUUUGUAUUGGAUUUUGGUAGCGUUUCUGUUGAUUUUUGGUUUUUUUCUUUCUAUUUUUUCUCUCGAUUUCGCUGUCUAUGAUUUGAUUUCUUGGUCCCGAUCUUUAUAUAGGGUUUUCUUCGAGCUGGCUUGGUUGGAGCUAGGGCUUGAUUUUUCGGACAUUCUUUUGGUUGGGGUCUUGCUUCUUGCUAGCCCUAGCGUGGAGUUCGUGGUUGGAGUAUGAUUUAGGGCUAGGGUUUUGAUUCUUGUACGGUGCUUUUUGGGGGGUUGCAUGUUGGGGGAGUUUUAGGGUUUUCAAUUUCUUGUUUUGGAGGAAGAUUGGGGUUGGAUUCCUCGGUUUCUGUGAUCUAGGGUUUGGAGGUCCAUUGAGGGAGGGUGGAGUCUGGUCGAAUUUAGGGUUUGAUGUUGUUUGUAAGGCAAUGUUUGAUGCUUCUUGAUAAUGAAUCCGCUUUAAUUGCCGCAUUAAUCGCGUGUUUUUUAUUCCGUGAUAGCAGAUAGAUUCAAGAAACCCUGUCCGACUCCUUGCUGAAUCAUAAUUUAAUCCUGUAUCGACACUAAACUAGCUAUAGCAAAGUCCAAAAAAAAGGAAGGAA